rnacentral:rRNA from 1 species
ACGGCGAGUGAAGCGGGAAAAGCUCAAAUUUUAAAUCGAAUAGGNUACCUUAUUCGAGUUGUAUUUUCAAGAGACGUUUUCGGAUCGCGCCUGGGUAUAAGUCCUUUGGAACAGGGCAUCAUAGAGGGUGAGAAUCCCGUUUAUGACCCGGAGCGGCUGUCUAUGUGAUACGUUUUCAAAGAGUCAGGUUGUUUGGGAAUGCAGCCUAAAAUGGGUGGUAAAUUUCAUCUAAAGCUAAAUAUUGGCGAGAGACCGAUAGCGAACAAGUACCGUGAGGGAAAGAUGAAAAGAACUUUGAAAAGAGAGUUAAACAGUACGUGAAAUUGUUGAAAGGGAAACGUUUGAAAUCAGUCAUGUAAACGAGUAAUCAGCUUGGCUUUUGCCUUGUGCACUUUCUCGUUAGCAGGUCAGCGUCAGUUUUGAUACUAGUCGGAUAAAAAAUUAAGGGAAUGUGGCUCUCUUUUACGAGGGAGUGUUAUAGCCCUGAUUAUAAUACGAUGGUUAAGACUGAGGUCUGCAGCCAAUACCCUUCAUUGGG